rnacentral:lncRNA from 1 species
GAUUCUACAGGGGAAAUAUUAUGUUGUAUUAUUUUUUUUUUUUACUAUGAGAGUUUUGACCUUUCCCUUUUGAUGGUUAACAUGUUUGUUGCUUUAAUAAAAAGAUGGAGGUGUUGAAUACUUUGACUUAGCAAAGUUAAAAGGUAUUAAAUUUAAGUUUCAUUCAUAUAUAUAUAUAUAUAUAUAUAUAUAUAUAUAUAUAUAUAUAUAUAUAUGUAUAUUCUUGGUCUAUAAAAUAAAUGUCCUAGAGUCUGAAAUUCUAUGUCUUAAAGAAACACAGAUUCUAAGUCCUACAAAGAUUGGUUCACUUAACUGUGAAGAUACCAUGGCGAGUUUAUAAUUACCAUUGUUAUUCAUAGAAGAUGGGUUUAUCAACCAGAGCACUUUAGGGAUGCUCUCAUCCUCUCAGACAGCCAAAGCUUCUGUUUACACAUAAAACUCCAAGUCUGAUGUAUGCAAAUGCAUUCAGAGCUGUGGUAUUUAAUUUUAACACCCAACCAAAGAGGUCGACCAGAUGUUCAGAAAACAUCAUACUGAAUAUUCCUGAAAAUCCUUCUCAGCCCCAUGGAAGGAUUUGAUGAAUUGGGGAAAGUGGAAAAGUGAAGUCUUGCCAGGAGCCAUUACGCAUCAAUUCAUGUUUCUGUAGUUUUCACUUCACAUCUGUAUUACAAAACGUGCUCUCCCAAACCUUUUGCAAAAGUAUCUGUUCACUAUUUAUAUUACUGUUAUUUCGUUCUUUGACCUCUUAACUCAGUAAAUCAUGUGUAUUCUACAUGCUAUACUAUGAGACAGGGUGAUUAUAAGUGGCAUAACUUUUGGUCUCAAGAACUUCGUUAUUACACAAUAGGACAUAGAGUACCAGUGCUUUACGGGAAGUGUUGUUAUACUGGAGAAGUAUAUACCAGCUUUUGGUGUUCUGACUAGCCUGGGAGUAAAUUUUGACUCUCCCAUUUAACUUUAUGACUCUCUCUUCAUAGCAUGGAGAUAAUAAUCCUGACAUCACUUGGUAUUUGGCUGUAUCACUGGUUGUUAUAAUAACUAAAAGAAGUACUGUUUUCAUUCACUUAUCAAGGGUUCACUGAACAUAUGCAUGAAAGAAACAUACACAGCAAAGAUCCUGGCAUGAUGUGAGUGCUUAAUUACAGUCAUAAUCAUUUCAACUCUCAUUCUGUGUAUUGAUUCAGAGAACUGGCCUUUUGCCACAAUGUGCUAUGAUAAAGUCCUUAUCUUGGUAAUAUGUCUGAACAUUUCUCCCAAGCCUACUACAGCAUUCCACCUAUCAUGGAAUUCUACUGUCAGUGCCUUGGGGUAGCUGAUGACCCAUGGCUGCUUUGUCUCUUGCUCUUGGGAUAGUCCUCGUUGGAUAUUCCAGUCUUGGAGUUUAUAUGGUGUCUCUGCUUAUACACAUGGGUGCUAGUAUAGAUCUUAUCCCUUGGUCUGGGUGUGGCUUGACAUAUUUCAUAAUUCAAUUUGUUCUCACUACAUUCCUUAAAAACGGAUUUCUUUCCAGAUACCAGGCCCACACCACAUAAUGUGGCUCUGCCACAUCUUACUCUCCAGAUCAACGCACUGAGGGCAGGGAUGACUUACAGUUCCAGACCGUGUGGGCCACAGCUACAUAUGUGACAGAGACACCUGUCAGAAGACUGAAAUCCAAAACAAAAGUAUUAAAAGCACAUUUGUUAAACAGACAGAGAUGGCUCAAUAGUCAAAUAAAUGCUUAGGGCAAACAGAACAGAUUGUUAUACUAAGCACAAGUUAAGCAUUUCAAAUUCGACUUGCAGCUCUGCAUUCAGUUCUAUAAGGAAGGUUUACUGGUUGCCCUAGAGAAAGGAGAUGCGGAUGAGUGUCUCGACUCUUUAUCAUUGGUAGUAUCACUACUAUCUCUCUCACAGUGCCAAUUUUAUUACUAAUACACUAAAAAAAAAAGAGUGGAAUUGUACUGCAUGCCAGCUGAAUAAAAGAAAAUCAGCAUGGGGCUGUGAAGGUCCUAUAAGGUAGAAUUUGGACAAGUAGGUGUGAAAUGGUCUUCCAGAGAGAAGUUGCUUC